rnacentral:rRNA from 1 species
AUUGAACGAUGGCGGCAGGCCUAACACAUGCAAGUCGAGCGGAGCGGAGGACGGGUGAGUAAUGCCUAGGAAUCUGCCUGGUAGUGGGGGAUAACGUACGGAAACGGGCGCUAAUACCGCAUACUAUCAGAUGAGCCCAGAGGGGAUUAACUAGUAGGUGGGGUAACGGCUCACCUAGGCGACGAUCCCUAGCUGGUCUGAGAGGAUGACCAGCCACACUGGAACUUGGACACGGUCCAGACUCCUACGGGAGGCAGCAUUGGGGAAUAUUGCACAAUGGGCGCAAGCCUGAUGCGGCCAUGCCGCGUGUGUGAAGAAGGCCUUCGGUUUGUAAAGCACUUUCAGCGGGGAGGCGUUACCCGCAGAAGAAGCACCGGCUGACUCCGUGCCAGCCGCCGCAGUAAUAC